rnacentral:rRNA from 1 species
UACGGAGGGUGCGAGCGUUGUCCGGAAUCAUUGGGCGUAAAGGGCGCGUAGGUGGCGCGGUAAGCGUGCGGUGAAAGCCUGGGGCUCAACCCCGGGUCUGCCGUGCGAACUGCUGGGCUUGAGCACUGUAGAGGCAGGCGGAAUUCCGGGUGUAGCGGUGGAAUGCGUAGAGAUCCGGAAGAACACCGGUGGCGAAGGCGGCCUGCUGGGCAGUUGCUGACACUGAGGCGCGACAGCGUGGGGAGCAAACAGG